rnacentral:lncRNA from 1 species
ACCGAUAUGCACCUUUUGAUGGAGAAUUCAUCACCUUUAGCUGCCUCCUUAUCUCUUGCCCCCUUUUCUCUUGACUCCUUUUCUCUUGCCUCAUUUUCUCUUGCUAGCUGUUUAGCUUCAUUUUCUGCUUGCUUUGUCCUCAUUUCAAUUCAAGGAAUCUCUCCAUCAUGGCUUCAAUUUUUACACUCUUUCUAGGCCUUUGUCCUUCCUUUUCUAGUUUCUUU